UACGUAGGGUGCAAGCGUUAAUCGGAAUUACUGGGCGUAAAGCGUGCGCAGGCGGUGAUGUAAGACAGUUGUGAAAUCCCCGGGCUCAACCUGGGAACUGCAUCUGUGACUGCAUCGCUGGAGUGCGGCAGAGGGGGAUGGAAUUCCGCGUGUAGCAGUGAAAUGCGUAGAUAUGCGGAGGAACACCGAUGGCGAAGGCAAUCCCCUGGGCCCGCACUGACGCUCAUGCACGAAAGCGUGGGGAGCAAACAGG
rnacentral:rRNA from 1 species